rnacentral:rRNA from 1 species
GACGAACGCUGGCGGCGUGCUUAACACAUGCAAGUCGAACGAAGAGCGAUGGAAGCUUGCUUCUCUCAAUCUUAGUGGCGAACGGGUGAGUAACGCGUAAUCAACCUGCCCUUCAGAGGGGGACAACAGUUGGAAACGACUGCUAAUACCGCAUACGAUCCAAUCUCGGCAUCGGGACUGGAUGAAAGGUGGCCUCUAUUUAUAAGCUAUCACUGAAGGAGGGGAUUGCGUCUGAUUAGCUAGUUGGAGGGGUAACGGCCCACCAAGGCGAUGAUCAGUAGCCGGUCUGAGAGGAUGAACGGCCACAUUGGGACUGAGACACGGCCCAGACUCCUACGGGAGGCAGCAGUGGGGAAUCUUCCGCAAUGGACGAAAGUCUGACGGAGCAACGCCGCGUGAGUGAUGACGGCCUUCGGGUUGUAAAGCUCUGUUAAUCGGGACGAAUGGUUCUUGUGCGAAUAGUGCGAGGAUUUGACGGUACCGGAAUAGAAAGCCACCGCUAACUACGUG